rnacentral:lncRNA from 1 species
CACAUGUUAUUGGGAAGGGGCACAGUCUGAAAAUCCACUUGUGUUAUCUGGAAUUAUUUUCUAUAUUCCACAAGGAAAAAAGGAGGAACUUUCUUACAAAUAGUGCCCUGGAAUGAUCUCAGUUGCUUCUUCACUGAAGUCUCUUGCUUUAUUCUGGCAUCACUGUUGAACUAGUAUAUGAAGCAGGGUGAAAAACUUGGUACUUACAAUGUACUUCACCAGAAUGAAACAGAGGUCAACAAUUUUCCUACAUUUUUUGCAAAUCUGCCCUGUAAACAGAAUCAAGAUCAGCUUUGUUUUUUAUCUACUCCCUUGAACAUUCAAAAUUAA